CCUACGGGAGGCAGCAGUGGGGAAUUUUGGACAAUGGGCGCAAGCCUGAUCCAGCAAUGCCGCGUGAGUGAAGAAGGCCUUCGGGUUGUAAAGCUCUUUUGUCAGGGAAGAAACGGUGAAGGCUAAUAUCCUUUGCUAAUGACGGUACUUGAAGAAUAAGCACCGGCUAACUACGUGCCAGCAGCCGCGGUAAUACGUAGGGUGCAAGCGUUAAUCGGAAUUACUGGGCGUAAAGCGUGCGCAGGCGGUUUUGUAAGUUUGUCGUGAAAUCCCCGGGCUCAACCUGGGAAUGGCGAUGAAGACUGCAAGGCUAGAAUCUGGCAGAGGGGGGUAGAAUUCCACGUGUAGCAGUGAAAUGCGUAGAGAUGUGGAGGAACACCGAUGGCGAAGGCAGCCCCCUGGGUCAAGAUUGACGCUCAUGCACGAAAGCGUGGGGAGCAAACAGGAUUAGAUACCCUGGUAGUCCACGCCCUAAACGAUGUCUACUAGUUGUCGGGUUUUAAUAACUUGGUAACGCAGCUAACGCGUGAAGUAGACCGCCUGGGGAUACGGUCGCAAGNUUAAAACGUCAAAUGAAUUGACCGGNUGAGAGNGCGAGACGACGACGAGGGAGGAGG
rnacentral:rRNA from 1 species